UAAAGACAGUGCUUGCCAUGACGUG
rnacentral:sRNA from 1 species